UAGGGAAUCUUCCGCAAUGGGCGAAAGCCUGACGGAGCAACGCCGCGUGAGUGAUGAAGGUCUUCGGAUCGUAAAACUCUGUUAUUAGGGAAGAACAAAUGUGUAAGUAACUAUGCACGUCUUGACGGUACCUAAUCAGAAAGCCACGGCUAACUACGUGCCAGCAGCCGCGGUAAUACGUAGGUGGCAAGCGUUAUCCGGAAUUAUUGGGCGUAAAGCGCGCGUAGGCGGUUUUUUAAGUCUGAUGUGAAAGCCCACGGCUCAACCGUGGAAGGUCAUUGGAAACUGGAAAACUUGAGUGCAGGAGAGGAAAGUGGAAUUCCAUGUGUAGCGGUGAAAUGCGCAGAGAUAUGGAGGAACACCAGUGGCGAAGGCGACUUUCUGGUCUGUAACUGACGCUGAUGUGCGAAAGCGUGGGGAUCAAACAGG
rnacentral:rRNA from 1 species